GGUUUUAUAGUUUAAUUAAAACGUUAAAUUGCAAGUUUGAAGAUAUGUUAGUUAAGACCU
rnacentral:tRNA from 1 species